GGCGCCCCUGGGCCUGCAGCCGGGCUGCCCCGGGGAGCGGCGGGUGCCCCGGCAGCCCCGCGGCGAGGCGAGGGUGACGAAAGGCGGUUUGGAGGCCCUGCGAGCCCGAGGCUGACUUGGGGCCGGCAUCUGGGUGGCCUGAGCCGCGGCGGGGAAGCGACAUCACCUCCCCCGGCACUGAAAACUCGCGUCUGAAGGGAAGCAGUUUUGCCACAGAAGGCGCUUGUUACCUCCAGGGUUGCCAAGCACCACGUAAGCAGAACACCUCAGCUCAGGACGUGCACCUCUGCCUGGAGCAAGGCGGCUGCUCGCUGGCCUCCAGCCCUGCGUGACCUAACCGGUGGGAGGAAGAGAGGCAUGAACGCCCUGUCCAUUCCGCCCUAAGGAAAGACCUGGACUCCGUAACUCACACACAUCUGUGUCACCUGCCAGCACUAGUGUCGUCCCUUCCCAGCAGACCCGCUGCUGCCUCCCCAGCUCCAGGUGCUGCUCACCUGCACCCACGCCCUGGCAGCUGGGCCAGCUGCACGCCACACCCUCCCCGCAGCAUCAGAAGAGAGGAAUUUUUAAGCUGUUCAUUUUGUGUAAAUUUACAGCUGGCACGAAAUGGCACCAACACGCACAGUCCUGCUGCCCUCUCUGCCCUUCCUAUGGGCCCUGGUUUCCCCCCUUGGGAAAUGAGCUGCAAUGCCAAGAGCCAGAUCAAAGGAAAUAAAUGCUUGUUUCAAUGCAGAUCACUUUGUGUUUUCAAAGCAAUAUGCAAAUGUGAGCCAGUCUGUAUUACUACAUCUUUGUUAACACACUAACCUAAGAUGACUCAGUUUUAAGUAUUUGUAGCAUGGCUGAAAGAUGUAUCUGGAAAUACAUUUUCUCCACCUUU